UGUUGGUGAUAUGGACAAUCCCUAAGAAGAGACUUGAAUUUUUCCCAUGCAUGAUAGAGGUUCUCAUCUGCCUUUUGUUUGAAAAUUAGGAUCUCACUCAUAAACA
rfam:Capsicum annuum cultivar Zunla-1 chromosome 12, whole genome shotgun sequence